rnacentral:rRNA from 1 species
GAUUAACGCUGGCGGCGUGCAUAACACAUGCAAGUCGAACGAUGAAACUUUAAUGAACCCUUCGGGGAGAAUUAAAGCGGAUUAGUGGCGAACGGGUGAGUAACGCGUGAGUAACCUGCCUUACACAAGGGGAUAGCCUUUGGAAACGAAGAAUAAUACCCUAUAAAACUAUAAAAGCACAUGCAAUUAUGGUCAAAGUGAUAGCGGUGUAAGAUGGACUUGCGUCUGAUUAGCUAGUUGGUGAGAUAAAAGCCCACCAAGGCAACGAUCAGUAGCCGGCUUGAGAGAGUGUACGGCCACAUUGGGACUGAGACACGGCCCAGACUCCUACGGGAGGCAGCAGUGGGGAAUUUUGCACAAUGGGGGAAACCCUGAUGCAGCGACGCCGCGUGAUUUAGAAGGCCUUCGGGUUGUAAAAAUCUUUUGUAUAGGAGGAAAAUGACAGUACUAUACGAAUAAGGUCCGGCUAAUUACGUG